CCAAUAGCGUAUAUUAAAGUUGUUGCAGUUAAAAAGCUCGUAGUUGAAUUUCGGGAUCAAUAUGUCGGUCGUGCCUCCGGUACGUACUGGCGUUAUUGGUUUCUCCCUUCUGACGAACCACGAUGUCAUUAAUUUGGUGUUAUGGGGAAUCAGGACUGUUACUUUGAAAAAAUUAGAGUGUUUAAAGCAGGCUCACGCCUGAAUACAUUAGCAUGGAAUAAUGAAAUAGGACGUUUGAUUCUACUUUGUUGGUUUCUAGGAUCGACGUAAUGAUUAAUAGGGAUAGUUGGGGGCAUUAGUAUUCAAUUGUCAGAGGUGAAAUUCUUGGAUUUAUUGAAGACUAACUACUGCGAAAGCAUUUGCCAAGGAUGUUUUCAUUAAUCAAGAACGAAAGUUAGGGGAUCGAAGACGAUCAGAUACCGUCGUAGUCUUAACCAUAAACUAUGCCGACUAGGGAUCGGAUGAUGUUAAUUUUUUAAUGACUCAUUCGGCGCCUUACG
rnacentral:rRNA from 1 species